AGUUCUCCCUGAGACUUAGAGUCUCCUGAAGGAACGUUGAAGACGACGACGUUGAUAGGCCGGGUGUGUAAGCGCAGCGAUGCGUUGAGCUAACCGGUACUAAUGAACCGUGAGGCUUAACCUUAUAACGCCGAAG
rnacentral:rRNA from 3 species